CGGCGUCAUUUGUUCAGGAAGGGAACCAUCGAUAACAGACUGCAGACAUCAGGGUUCGGGGUCCACAACUGUAGACAUAAUGAAGAUACCAGCAUCAUCUGUUACAACGCCAGCAUGAAUGUGGCUAUCAGACCAGUCCUGCUCACUGCAGGUAGCC